GAUGAACGCUGGCGGCGUGCCUAAUACAUGCAAGUCGAGCGAGCAGACGAGGAGCUUGCUCCUCUGACGUUAGCGGCGGACGGGUGAGUAACACGUGGAUAACCUACCUAUAAGACUGGGAUAACUUCGGGAAACCGGAGCUAAUACCGGAUAAUAUAUUGAACCACAUGGUUCAAUAGUGAAAGACGGUUUUGCUGUCACUUAUAGAUGGAUCCGCGCCGCAUUAGCUAGUUGGUAAGGUAACGGCUUACCAAGGCGACGAUGCGUAGCCGACCUGAGAGGGUGAUCGGCCACACUGGAACUGAGACACGGUCCAGACUCCUACGGGAGGCAGCAGUAGGGAAUCUUCCGCAAUGGGCGAAAGCCUGACGGAGCAACGCCGCGUGAGUGAUGAAGGUCUUCGGAUCGUAAAACUCUGUUAUUAGGGAAGAACAAAUGUGUAAGUAACUAUGCACGUCUUGACGGUACCUAAUCAGAAAGCCACGGCUAACUACGUG
rnacentral:rRNA from 1 species